GUUUAGUCUUUCCAUCUUCAGUUUGAAGUGAUUGUGUUAGCUGUGUUGUUGGCUGUGUUGUUGGCUGUGUUGUUGGCUGUGUUGUUGGCUGUGUUGUUGGCUAGCUCCUCUGAACAACAGUGUCCUGAAGAGUGAGCACAUUUUCUACACCAGGUAAAAAGCUACUUUGUUGUUAUUCUGGCUGCACUUGGACACGACCCAGUUUGACGUGACUGUAAGUUCGUCGUAGUUGGCUAGUUAGCAAGCAACAAGUAAGCAAGGGAUAAGAACAUUACCAGCCAUUCUGGCAAUGGAACAUUUAUAACAAACAACUGGGUCGUGUCCAUUGAUACAGAACAAAAAGACUGAACGACUGGGUCGUGUCCAUUGAUACAGAACAAAAAGACUGAACGACUGGGUCGUGUCCAUUGAUACAGAACAAAAAGACUGAACGACUGGGUCGUGUCCAUUGAUACAGAACAAAAAGACUGAACGACUGGGUCGUGUCCAUUGAUACAGAACAAAAAGACUGACUGGGUUGCGUCUCGGCAACCGAACCGAUAGAAUGAACGACCAGCCGGCUUAGGGAGCAACCAUAGAUUUGUAUCGGGACUAUAUCUUGUGGAAGGAUGAAAUAGUAUGAAUAAAUUAAUCAAAAUAAUAUGUUUAAUAUAAUAUAAAUAUACAGUCAAAAUGUUGGACACCUUCUCAUUCAAGGGGUUUUCCUUAUUUUUUACUAUUUUCUACAUUGUAGAAUAAUAGUGAAGACAUCAAAACUAUGAAAUAACACAUAUGGAAUCAUGUAGUAACCAAAAAAGUGUUAAACAAAUCCAAAUUUAUUUGAGAUUAUUCAAAGUAUUCACCCUUUGCCUUGAUGACAGCUUUGCACAUUCUUGGCAUUCUCUCAACCAGCUUCACCUGGAAUGCUUUUCCAACAGUCUUGAAGGAGUUCCCACAUAUGCUGAGCACUUGUUGGCUGCUUUUCCUUCACUCUCCGGUCCAACUCAUCCCAAACCAUCUCAAUUGGGUUGAGGUUGGGUGAUUGUGGAGGCCAGGUCAUCUGAUGCAGCACUCCAUCACUCUCCUUCUUGGUCAAAUAGCCUUUAUACAGCCUGGAGGUGUGUUGGGUCAUUGUCUUGUUGAAAAACAAAUGAUAGUCCCACUAAGCCCAAACCAGAUGGGAUGGCAUAUCGCUGCAGAAUGCUGUGGAAGCCAUGCUGGUUAAGUGUGCCUUGAAUUCAAAAUAAAUCAGACUGUGUCACUAGCAAAGCACCCCCACACCUCCUCCUCCAUGCUUCAUGGUAGGAACCACACAUGCAGAGAUCACCCAUUCACCUACUCUGCUUCUCACAAAGACACAGGGGUUGGAACCAAAAAUAUCAAAUUUGGACUCAUCAGACUUAAGGACAGAUUUACACCGGUCUAAUGUCCAUUGCUCGUGUUUCUUGGCCCAAGCAAGUCUCUUCUUCUUAUUGGUGUCCUUUAGUAGUGGUUUCUUUGCAGCAAUUUGACCAUGAAGGCCUGAUUUACACAGUCUCCUCUGAACAGUUGAUGUUGAGAUUUGUCUGUUACUAGCAUUUAUUUGGGCUGCAAUCUGAGGCUGGUAACUCUAGUGAACUUAUCCUCUGCAGCAGAGGUAACUCUGGGUCUUCCUUUCCUGUGUCGGUCCUCCUGAGAGACAGUUAACGCUAAUGAACUUAUCCUCUGUAGAAGAGGUAACUCUGGGUCUUCCUUUCCUGUGUCGGUCCUCCUGAGAGACAGUUAACGCUAAUGAACUUAUCCUCUGUAGAAGAGGUAACUCUGGGUCUUCCUUUCCUGUGUCGGUCCUCAUGAGAACCAGUUUCAUCAUAGCGCUUGACGUUUUUUGUGACUGCACUUGAAGAGACGUUCAAAGUUCUUGAACUUUUCCAGAUUGACUGACCUUCAUGUCUUAAAGUAACGAUUGACUGUUUGACCUUUCUCUGUUCUUGCCAUAGUUAUGGACUUGGUCUUUAACCAAACAUGGAGAUCUUCUGUACACCACCCCUACCUUGUCACAACAGAUUGGCUCAAAUGCAUUAAGGAAUGAAAUUGCACAAAUGAACUUUUAACAAGGCACACCUGUUAAUUGAAAUACAUUCCAGGUGACUACCUCAUGAAGCUGGUUGAGAGAAAGCCAAGAGUAUGCAGAGCUGUCAUCAAGGCAAAGGAUGGCUACUUUGAAGAAUCUCAAAUAUAAAAUAUAUUAUAUUAACACUCCUUUGGUUACGACAUGAUUCCAUAGUUGACGUCUUCACUAUAAUUCUACAAUGUAGAAAAUAGAAAAAAAUAAAAGGUAAAAAUCCUGGAAUGAGUAGGUGUGUCCAAACUGUUGACUGGUACUGUAUAUACUGAACACCCCCCACCUGGAUUUAUGUUGAAGAUCAGUCACCCUCUGACCUUAGCAUGAAGGAGCAAUCAUCGACAUGAUGACUGAGGAACCAUCACAUGAUGUAAAGGAUAUUCAUCACAGAAAGGUACAAUACACUGUCUGUUCACGAGACAUUACAAGGACAUGGGGAUAUACUCUAGACUAGACUGUCAAUGGACCUCUUCUGUGGUCCUCUUGAGUGGGACGGCCUGGGAGUGACCCCGACAGGGAUGACGGAGUCCUGUGAUGGCCUGGGAGUGACCCGACAGGGAUGACGGAGUCCUGUGAUGGCCUGGGAGUGACCCGACAGGGAUGACUGAGUCCUGUGAUGGCCUGGGAGUGACCCGACAGGGAUGACUGAGUCCUGUGAUGGCCUGGGAGUGACCCGACAGGGAUGACUGAGUCCUGUGAUGGCCUGGGAGUGACCCGACAGGGAUGACGGAGUCCUGUGAUGGCCUGGGAGUGACCCGACAGGGAUGACGGAGUCCUGUGAUGGCCUGGGAGUGACCCGA
ensembl:lncRNA